GCGUCCCCUUUGCCCUGUAAUUUUCCUUUUGCAGGCUUCUAGUGCUCACUGUGCUGCUUUAGGUUUUUCUUGCUCUUUUCUCGCUCAGAGUUCAGCCCUCCACCCGAGCCCUUUAAUCCCUUUGUCCCAGCGGUUCCAAGGAACAGUGGCUGUGUUUAGCACCCAGUGGAUGAUGAAACUCACCAGAGACCACAUUGCUAGAGAAUGGCUAAACUCGGUUUUGAAUCUAGGCAAUCUUGACAACCACCACCCCCCCAACAAGAACCCUCCAGCUUAAAGGAAAGAGACCCCAGGAGCUCCCUCACGCCUUCUGCCAAGGGAGGACACAAAGAAAAGACGGACAUCAGUGAACCAGGAAGCAGGCCCUCAUCAGACACCGAAUCUGCCAGUGCCUUGAUCUUGGACC